AGUUAAGUGACUAAGCGUACACGGUGGAUGCCUAGGCAAUCAGAGGCGAAGAAGGACGUGCUAAUCUGCGAAAAGCUUGGAUGAGUUGAUAAGAAGCGUUUAAUCCAAGAUAUCCGAAUGGGGAAACCCGAUGGAUGAAGAAUCCAUCAUUUCAUUAUGAAUCCAUAGUAAUGAAAGGCAAACCGGGAGAACUGAAACAUCUAAGUACCCCGAGGAAAAGAAAUCAACCGAGAUUUUGUCAGUAGCGGCGAGCGAAAGCGAAAGAGCCAGCAAGUGAUAGCAGCAAAGACAGAAGAAUUGGCUGGGAAGCCAAGCGACACAGGGUGAUAGCCCCGUAUUCGAAGUUUUUGUUGUGGUACUAAGCUUGCAACAAGUAGGGCGGGACACGAGAAAUCCUGUUUGAAGAUGGGGGGACCAUCCUCCAAGGCUAAAUACUCCUGAUUGACCGAUAGUGAACCAGUACUGUGAAGGAAAGGCGAAAAGAACCCCAGUGAGGGGAGUGAAAUAGAACCUGAAACCGUGUACGUACAAGCAGUGGGAGCCCUUUUGGGUGACUGCGUACCUUUUGUAUAAUGGGUCAGCGACUUAUAUUUUGUAGCGAGGUUAACUGAAUAAGGGAGCCGAAGGGAAACCGAGUCUUAACUGGGCGGAUAGUUGCAAGGUAUAGACCCGAAACCCGGUGAUCUAGCCAUGGGCAGGUUGAAGGUUGGGUAACACUAACUGGAGGAC
rnacentral:rRNA from 1 species